rnacentral:lncRNA from 1 species
AUGUCACUCAGCCUCGUGACAGUCACGGGGGUGCUUCAGGGGGCAGGCGGAGUUCGCUUCGGCAGGACAGCGCUGGCGCCUCCAGGAAGCCUGUGCCAUGAGUCAGUGCAGGAGCCCUGGGCUGUGUCUCCCAACUCACUGCCGCGUCCUGGUCGCGAUAUCGGUGCCCGUGCCUUUCCCAGCCGAUGUUGGCACGCGCCCACGGUCAGAGCACACGGGGAAGGCAGAAGCAGACAACCACAAGGAGUCGGUGGCUGCGUUCCCGAGCCUGUGAGAGCAGCGUGGCCACGUGGUUCCUUUGGCCCUCGGAAGACAUCAAAGCCGCAGGGAGGCCGACUUGGGGAUGCCGGUGAGAUGAUCUGUUCCAGGAGCCCUGAGGCAAAGGGCUCGGAUGCCUCGGGGCAGGCGGGGUGGGGGCUGAGGUCCGCAGCUCCCCGUACCAGAGGCAUCCGCUCACCACUCCUGGGGCGAGAAGGGCCCGGUGCUCCUGAGCCCAGCUGGGUGGGUUGCUGUGUGCCUGGACGCCGUGGAGCUGCCCCUCCUCACGAUGGCCGUGAGUGGGCUGGCAGGGAAGGACCCAGUUCUGGGAGGGCUGAGGUGUCUGCGACCAGGGCCAAGGCCUCUGCCUCACUCGGGUCCCUCUCCUUAGCUUUGGGGCUUUUUAAAAAGAUUUUAUUUUAUUUAUUUGAAAGACAAAGUUACAGAGAGAGGGAGAGGCAGAGAGAGAGGUCUUCCAUCCGCUGGUUCAAUCCCCAGAUGGCCACAAUGUCCAGAGCUGGGCCGAUCCAAAGCCAGGAGCUAGGAGCUUCUUCCAGGUCUCCCACAUGGGUGCAGGCGCCCAAGGACUUGGGCAUCUUCUACUGCUUUCCCAGGCCACAGCAGAGAGCUGGAUCGGAAGUGGAGCAGCCGGGUCUCCAACAGGUGUCCAGAUGCGAUGCCGGCGUCGCAGGCAACGGCUUUACCUGCUGCGCCACAGCGCCAGCCCCAGGAGAACCGUUAGAUCAGAUGGCAUUUGGACCUCGGGGCUGGAGCCCUCCGGCUAAGCCGGGAGGAUUCCUGGGCUGCGGGAGAUGACUGACACACGUCGCUGUGGCUCCAAGCGGCUGCGGUGACCUGCCAGUCAGGUAAGGGCAGACGCGAACCUGGGGGUGGAGUGUGGGGGAGGUUGAGGCUGUGUGCCCUUGGCUCCUGGGAAGUAUGAAGAGCAAGGCCAGGCCAGCCACCAACUGCGGGGUGAUGGGGUGGAUGGGAGGCGUGCAGGUCCACUGUGAGAUCAGCGAGGCCCUGGGACGGAGGAAGAGGAGGGGGGAGAAGGCUGAGGUCUCCGUGCGUGAGACGGCUGCUCGAGCCUGGACAUGACUGGCCGUUCCGGUGGCGCCGCUCCUCGUCGGUCAUGUAACAGACGCUGCCUGCUGGUCAUUUCUGGACUCGCUAGCGAAGACAGCAGUGCAGGCCCAGGAGUUGUGCAGCCUGGUGUUCGAAGGAGAGCUUGGG